GGAGAGGUGCAGGAGUGGUUGAACUGGCCGCUCUCGAAAAGCGGUAUGGGGCAACUCAUCGAGGGUUCGAAUCCCUCUCUCUCCGCCA
rnacentral:tRNA from 10 species